rnacentral:rRNA from 1 species
CCUACGGGAGGCAGCAGUGAGGAAUAUUGGUCAAUGGUCGGGAGACUGAACCAGCCAAGCCGCGUGAGGGAUGAAGGUACAGAGUAUCGUAAACCUCUUUUGUCAGGGAACAAAGUCGGGGACGUGUCCCCGGUUGUGUGUACCUUAAGAAAAAGCAUCGGCUAACUCCGUGCCAGCAGCCGCGGUAAUACGGAGGAUUCGAGCGUUAUCCGGAAUUAUUGGGUUUAACGGGUGCGCAGGGGGUCUGUUAAGUCAGCUGUGAAAGGUCGGGGCUCAACCCCCGCACGGCCGUUGAAACUGGCAGUCUCGAGUUGGAGAGAGGUAUGCGGAAUGCGCGGUGUAGCGGUGAAAUGCAUAGAUAUCGCGAAGAACUCCGAUUGCGAAGGCAGCAUGCUGGCUCCACACUGACGCUGAGGCACGAAAGCGUGGGUAUCGAACAGGAUUAGAUACCCCUGUAGUC